rnacentral:rRNA from 1 species
GACGAACGCUGGCGGCGUGCCUAACACAUGCAAGUCGAGCGGGGUUGAGGCGAGAGGUAACUCGAGCUUCUACCUAGCGGCGGACGGGUGAGUAACGCGUGGGCAACCUGCCUCAAGGUUUGGGAUAACAGCCCGAAAGGGCUGCUAAUACCGGAUAUGCCUAUGGCCUCGCAUGGGGCUAUGAGCAAAGGGGAAACCCGCCUUGAGAUGGGCCCGCGUCCCAUCAGCUAGUUGGUGAGGUAACAGCUCACCAAGGCGACGACGGGUAGCCGGCCUGAGAGGGUGACCGGCCACACUGGGACUGAGACACGGCCCAGACUCCUACGGGGGGCAGCAGUGGGGGAUCUUGCACAAUGGGCGAAAGCCUGAUGCAGCGACGCCGCGUGAGCGAAGAAGGCCUUCGGGUUGUAAAGCUCUGUCUGGAGGGACGAACAAAAUGACGGUACCUCCGGAGGAAGCCACGGCUAACUACGUGCCAGCAGCCGCGGAAACUGAGUCGU